rnacentral:rRNA from 1 species
ACGCUCGACACCUACGGGAGGCAGCAGUGGGGAAUAUUGGGCAAUGGGCGCAAGCCUGACCCAGCAACGCCGCGUGAAGGAAGAAGGCUUUCGGGUUGUAAACUUCUUUUAUUAAGGACGAAACAAAUGACGGUACUUAAUGAAUAAGCUCCGGCUAACUACGUACCAGCAGCCGCGGUAAUCUGAGCGGGCUGGCAAGGC